rnacentral:lncRNA from 1 species
CCCGGCACUGACUGGAGACCCAGGUGAGUCCUAGCAACUCACACGGCCCAACCGUCAAAACCACCUCUGUGGUGGGCGCGCACCCAACGCACGCACUUAGGCUCAAUCCGGGAGUCGCCUCCGGCCACUGACUGGAGACCCAGGCGAGUCCUAAGGAACUGACAAGGCCCAACGGUCAAAACGGCCUCUGUCGUGGGCGCUCACCCAAUGCACCCACCUACUCUCUCUCAAUCCGGGCGUCGCCUCCCGUUGCCAGGCAACGAGAGCGCGCGCAGCAAAGAGGAAGCGGGACUGACAGAUGAGGAAACCGAGGUUUGCAGAGACUGAGUGACUUGUUGAAGAUCACACAGCUAAAAAUUCAGGGAAUGGCUUAAAUAGAAUUUCAGCUUUGGGGGCUCAUAAUUGAGUGAGAGGCUUCUUCCUUGAUUCCCCUGAGAAGGAAGAAAUCUUCAUUUUUGGUUUGCAAGACCAUGAAAACAGUAAGUACAACAAAUGAAAUACUUUACACUCAAGGAAACAUGUUUUAAAAAACAGAGAAGAUAUAGAAAAGAAGUAUAAGUAAUAUAUUCAAAGAGAGACUAAACGAUAUUUUAUUAAUUUUAAAAGCCAUAGAUUAUAAAAAUAAAAGUUUGCCCUAUGAAAAUAGAAAGAAAAUCCUUAAGAUAGUAGGUGAAGAACAGAAUGGAUAAUGCCAGAAAAAUUUUGACCCGAGAGACCUAAAUAAGUAAUUCUCCCAAAAUACAGUAAAAGGGGAAUAAUGACAAAGAAUAUAAAAGAGAUACGGAGGAUACAUAUACAGAAAUUUCAAUAUGCAUCCAAGUUAUAGAAAUAUUAAAUGGAGUAGAGUACAAUCAAUAAUAAUUAUAACAACAAUAAAUGAGAAAUUUUCAGGAUUUAGCUAAAACAUAAAUCUUCAUCUAAACUUCAGAGUGGAAAAACACAUAAUACUCAAAGGAAAUACAAUUAUAUUGACUUCCAAUUUCUCAUCACCAACACUAGGAAGAAGAAAAUUUAAAAGAAAAAUCUUUGUCACCUUGGGUAAGCAAAGAGUUCUUGGACAUAAGACCAACACCAAAGGACAAACUAAUAAGGUGGCAUGGACCCAAAGAGUGAGCAGCAGCAAGAUUU